UUAAGCGACUAAGCGUACACGGUGGAUGCCCUGGCAGUCAGAGGCGAUGAAGGACGUGCUAAUCUGCGAUAAGCGUCGGUAAGGUGAUAUGAACCGUUAUAACCGGCGAUUUCCGAAUGGGGAAACCCAGUGUGUUUCGACACACUAUCAUUAACUGAAUCCAUAGGUUAAUGAGGCGAACCGGGGGAACUGAAACAUCUAAGUACCCCGAGGAAAAGAAAUCAACCGAGAUUCCCCCAGUAGCGGCGAGCGAACGGGGAGGAGCCCAGAGCCUGAAUCAGUGUGUGUGUUAGUGGAAGCGUCUGGAAAGGCGCGCGAUACAGGGUGACAGCCCCGUACACAAAAAUGCACAUGCUGUGAGCUCGAUGAGUAGGGCGGGACACGUGGUAUCCUGUCUGAAUAUGGGGGGACCAUCCUCCAAGGCUAAAUACUCCUGACUGACCGAUAGUGAACCAGUACCGUGAGGGAAAGGCGAAAAGAACCCCGGCGAGGGGAGUGAAAAAGAACCUGAAACCGUGUACGUACAAGCAGUGGGAGCCUCUUUUAUGGGGUGACUGCGUACCUUUUGUAUAAUGGGUCAGCGACUUAUAUUCUGUAGCAAGGUUAACCGAAUAGGGGAGCCGAAGGGAAACCGAGUCUUAACUGGGCGUUAAGUUGCAGGGUAUAGACCCGAAACCCGGUGAUCUAGCCAUGGGCAGGUUGAAGGUUGGGUAACACUAACUGGAGGACCGAACCGACUAAUGUUGAAAAAUUAGCGGAUGACUUGUGGCUGGGGGUGAAAGGCCAAUCAAACCGGGAGAUAGCUGGUUCUCCCCGAAAGCUAUUUAGGUAGCGCCUCGUGAAUUCAUCUCCGGGGGUAGAGCACUGUUUCGGCAAGGGGGUCAUCCCGACUUACCAACCCGAUGCAAACUGCGAAUACCGGAGAAUGUUAUCACGGGAGACACACGGCGGGUGCUAACGUCCGUCGUGAAGAGGGAAACAACCCAGACCGCCAGCUAAGGUCCCAAAGUCAUGGUUAAGUGGGAAACGAUGUGGGAAGGCCCAGACAGCCAGGAUGUUGGCUUAGAAGCAGCCAUCAUUUAAAGAAAGCGUAAUAGCUCACUGGUCGAGUCGGCCUGCGCGGAAGAUGUAACGGGGCUAAACCAUGCACCGAAGCUGCGGCAGCGACGCUUAUGCGUUGUUGGGUAGGGGAGCGUUCUGUAAGCCUGCGAAGGUGUGCUGUGAGGCAUGCUGGAGGUAUCAGAAGUGCGAAUGCUGACAUAAGUAACGAUAAAGCGGGUGAAAAGCCCGCUCGCCGGAAGACCAAGGGUUCCUGUCCAACGUUAAUCGGGGCAGGGUGAGUCGACCCCUAAGGCGAGGCCGAAAGGCGUAGUCGAUGGGAAACAGGUUAAUAUUCCUGUACUUGGUGUUACUGCGAAGGGGGGACGGAGAAGGCUAUGUUGGCCGGGCGACGGUUGUCCCGGUUUAAGCGUGUAGGCUGGUUUUCCAGGCAAAUCCGGAAAAUCAAGGCUGAGGCGUGAUGACGAGGCACUACGGUGCUGAAGCAACAAAUGCCCUGCUUCCAGGAAAAGCCUCUAAGCAUCAGGUAACAUCAAAUCGUACCCCAAACCGACACAGGUGGUCAGGUAGAGAAUACCAAGGCGCUUGAGAGAACUCGGGUGAAGGAACUAGGCAAAAUGGUGCCGUAACUUCGGGAGAAGGCACGCUGAUAUGUAGGUGAAGUCCCUCGCGGAUGGAGCUGAAAUCAGUCGAAGAUACCAGCUGGCUGCAACUGUUUAUUAAAAACACAGCACUGUGCAAACACGAAAGUGGACGUAUACGGUGUGACGCCUGCCCGGUGCCGGAAGGUUAAUUGAUGGGGUCAGCGCAAGCGAAGCUCUUGAUCGAAGCCCCGGUAAACGGCGGCCGUAACUAUAACGGUCCUAAGGUAGCGAAAUUCCUUGUCGGGUAAGUUCCGACCUGCACGAAUGGCGUAAUGAUGGCCAGGCUGUCUCCACCCGAGACUCAGUGAAAUUGAACUCGCUGUGAAGAUGCAGUGUACCCGCGGCAAGACGGAAAGACCCCGUGAACCUUUACUAUAGCUUGACACUGAACAUUGAGCCUUGAUGUGUAGGAUAGGUGGGAGGCUUUGAAGUGUGGACGCCAGUCUGCAUGGAGCCGACCUUGAAAUACCACCCUUUAAUGUUUGAUGUUCUAACGUGGACCCGUAAUCCGGGUUGCGGACAGUGUCUGGUGGGUAGUUUGACUGGGGCGGUCUCCUCCUAAAGAGUAACGGAGGAGCACGAAGGUUGGCUAAUCCUGGUCGGACAUCAGGAGGUUAGUGCAAUGGCAUAAGCCAGCUUGACUGCGAGCGUGACGGCGCGAGCAGGUGCGAAAGCAGGUCAUAGUGAUCCGGUGGUUCUGAAUGGAAGGGCCAUCGCUCAACGGAUAAAAGGUACUCCGGGGAUAACAGGCUGAUACCGCCCAAGAGUUCAUAUCGACGGCGGUGUUUGGCACCUCGAUGUCGGCUCAUCACAUCCUGGGGCUGAAGUAGGUCCCAAGGGUAUGGCUGUUCGCCAUUUAAAGUGGUACGCGAGCUGGGUUUAGAACGUCGUGAGACAGUUCGGUCCCUAUCUGCCGUGGGCGCUGGAGAAUUGAGGGGGGCUGCUCCUAGUACGAGAGGACCGGAGUGGACGCAUCACUGGUGUUCGGGUUGUCAUGCCAAUGGCACUGCCCGGUAGCUAAAUGCGGAAGAGAUAAGUGCUGAAAGCAUCUAAGCACGAAACUUGCCCCGAGAUGAGUUCUCCCUGACUCCUUGAGAGUCCUGAAGGAACGUUGAAGACGACGACGUUGAUAGGCCGGGUGUGUAAGCGCAGCGAUGCGUUGAGCUAACCGGUACUAAUGAACCGUGAGGCUUAACCUU
rnacentral:rRNA from 2 species